AGGGAGACCUAAUUCGGGUAUAAGACGAAAAAAGAGUAGUCGAAACCAAGAAUCAAUCCCAAAAGGUCGGAACGAGGUAUGUGGCUUUCAAACUAGGUUCUGGGUUCACACAAGACCUGAAUCAGGAACAAGGGCUAUUAGCUCAGGUGGUUAGAGCGCACCCCUGAUAAGGGUGAGGUCCCUGGUUCGAGUCCAGGAUGGCCCACCUGCACAGGUGGCAAAAACAAAGAAGCGAGGAAUCAGCACCUUAUCUUAUCUAUAUAUAAGAGAGAAUGCUGGCUCUGAGUAAAGAGUCCAGAGGAACCUUGAAAACUGCAUAGAGCUAGGUGAAAAAGCCAAAAAAGAAGACCGCAAGGUCAAGCUAAUAAGGGCUAACGGUGGAUACCUAG
rnacentral:tRNA from 1 species